rnacentral:rRNA from 1 species
AUUGAACGCUGGCGGAAUGCUUUACACAUGCAAGUCGAGCGGCAGCGCGGGGGCAACCCUGGCGGCGAGCGGCGAACGGGUGAGUAAUACAUCGGAACGUGUCCUUGAGUGGGGGAUAGCUCGGCGAAAGCCGGAUUAAUACCGCAUAAGCUCUGAGGAGGGAAAGCGGGGGACCUGGUAACGGGCCUCGCGCUGUUGGAGCGGCCGAUGUCGGAUUAGCUAGUUGGUGGGGUAAAGGCCCACCAAGGCGACGAUCCGUAGCUGGUCUGAGAGGAUGAUCAGCCACACUGGAACUGAGACACGGUCCAGACUCCUACGGGA